rnacentral:lncRNA from 1 species
AUGCCACUGCACUCCAACCUGAGUGACAGAGUGAGGCUCCAUCUCAAAAAAAAAAAAAAUUGUUUUGCCCUGAAUGGGUAGACCGGUGGGUUUGAGUUCAGCUUUGGGAAAAGGUAGGAUGGUUUUCCUCUAAGCAUGAAGUAGGCAGAAUGUGCCUGUUUUGUCCUUUCAUGAGAGCAAUUUGAUCUAGAGGAAGUACGAGGCUUUAAACUCCGGGUCUACAGAAUUAAAGGAGGGUAAAAGAAGGACAGCAGGACCUGACACUGGGCUUCUUAUUGUUCCUGUCACAAUUUAAAUCAUUUGUUCACAGUUGGUCACAAGACCUCAGUCUAUUCCGUGCUGCAAGUGUAUUCUUUCAAAAAACAGGAAGCAACACUUAAGUAAUUGCAGAUUUACAGUGACUACCAGGCUGAUCCCAGCUCUUUGUCAUGGCUUUCCUGUUUGGGUCUGAAGGAAGUGGCGGAGAAAGGAGAGAGAGGGUGGGGGAAGAAACUGUUAGAAGGACGGGUUAGCCUGAGCCUGGCUUUGCCUUAGUGAAAGAGUGAUGAAAACACUUUAAACAGUUGCCGACAGGCCGGUAGAAAAUAUUUGACAUCUCACCUACAUCAACAAGCAAGAGUUAAAGGUUAAAUCACACACAACUCAAGUGCUGGGAAAAAAGGAUAGGUUUAGGUCAUCAACUUUCUUUGUUCUAGGACCGCCCUAUGUCAACAAGGAGACAUAUUCCCACUCCCUGGUUGGAGACACCAGGACAAUAGAGACUGAUCCACAUUUGCUCUGGGUGGUAAAUCCCCUUUUAAGCAUUUGUAGCUUGCCUCUAGUCUAGCCUUCUUCAUCGUUUUUUACCUGCUUCCAAAUACCUAUGUAUUUAGGGCAAUGUGGUUGGUGGCCUUUCUUCUUUCUUCAACCAGUUUCUUGAGAUCCCAAGCAUGAAGCUUAGUGUAGGAGGAGAACUAGGAAGUGAAAAGUGUUUGCAUCCAUUUCCUGUGUUGGUUCCAAAUUCAGUGAGCAUCCAACCUAAAUCCUUUGGAUGGUGGUAGGGCCAGGGAAAGGUGCUUUACAUUGCUGGUUCUCACACACUCUAGGUUUAAUGAUAGAAGGACCUUUCUGGAGAGGCAUUUAGUGCUUUUCACAAGGACUAUAACAAAAGGUGGGGCAGAUUUCUUCACUGGUUCAAGGAAGAUUUGAAUUGAAAUUUGGGAAGAAAGGAAAAUAUGCCCAGGGGAGCAAUGCAACACUGUUGUGGUGGAUGCCAACAGGUGUGUUAUAGAAUGAAAAAGAAACAGCAUAGAAAAGUACAUUUUAUCAUUUGGUGGGCCAAGGUCCAUUUUGAGAAUCUGGUGAGAGCCAUGAUUAUCUGCCUACACCAAAGUUUGUAUCCAUGCUUAGGAGGAUCAGAAAUUUUGAUGAUUUUUUUUUUUUUUUAAGAAUUCCUAGAAGUUCAGCUGGGCUCAGUGUUUCACGCCUGUAAUCCCAGCACUUUUGGAAGGCCGAGGAGGGUGGAUCACCUGAGGUCAGGAGUCUGAGACCAGCGUGGCCAACAUGGAAUACCUGCAUCCACAAAAUAUUAAUUGAAGUCCCAC